UUAAGUUAUUAAGGGCGCACGGUGGAUGCCUUGGCACUAGAAGCCGAUGAAGGACGUUACUAACGACGAUAUGCUUUGGGUAGCUGUAAGUAAGCGUUGAUCCAGAGAUUUCCGAAUGGGGGAACCCAGCAUGAGUUAUGUCAUGUUAUCGACAUGUGAAUUCAUAGCAUGUCAGAAGGCAGACCCGGAGAACUGAAACAUCUUAGUACCCGGAGGAAGAGAAAGAAAAAUCGAUUCCCUGAGUAGCGGCGAGCGAAACGGGAAUAGCCCAAACCAACAAGCUUGCUUGUUGGGGUUGUAGGACACUCUAUACGGAGUUACAAAAGAACAUGUUAGACGAAUCAUCUGGAAAGAUGAAUCAAAGAAGGUAAUAAUCCUGUAGUCGAAAACAUAUUCUCUCUUGAGUGGAUCCUGAGUACGACGGAGCACGUGAAAUUCCGUCGGAAUCUGGGAGGACCAUCUCCUAAGGCUAAAUACUCUCUAGUGACCGAUAGUGAACCAGUACCGUGAGGGAAAGGUGAAAAGUACCCCGGAAGGGGAGUGAAAGAGAACUUGAAACCGUGUGCUUACAAGUAGUCAGAGCCCGUUAAUGGGUGAUGGCGUGCCUUUUGUAGAAUGAACCGGCGAGUUACGAUCUGAUGCAAGGUUAAGCAGCAAAUGUGGAGCCGCAGCGAAAGCGAGUCUGAAUAGGGCGUUGAGUAUUUGGUCGUAGACCCGAAACCAGGUGAUCUACCCUUGGUCAGGUUGAAGUUCAGGUAACACUGAAUGGAGGACCGAACCGACUUACGUUGAAAAGUGAGCGGAUGAACUGAGGGUAGCGGAGAAAUUCCAAUCGAACUUGGAGAUAGCUGGUUCUCUCCGAAAUAGCUUUAGGGCUAGCCUCAAGUGAUGAUUAUUGGAGGUAGAGCACUGUUUGGACGAGGGGCCCCUCUCGGGUUACCGAAUUCAGACAAACUCCGAAUGCCAAUUAAUUUAACUUGGGAGUCAGAACAUGGGUGAUAAGGUCCGUGUUCGAAAGGGAAACAGCCCAGACCACCAGCUAAGGUCCCAAAAUAUAUGUUAAGUGGAAAAGGAUGUGGCGUUGCCCAGACAACUAGGAUGUUGGCUUAGAAGCAGCCAUCAUUUAAAGAGUGCGUAAUAGCUCACUAGUCGAGUGACACUGCGCCGAAAAUGUACCGGGGCUAAACAUAUUACCGAAGCUGUGGAUUGUCCUUUGGACAAUGGUAGGAGAGCGUUCUAAGGGCGUCGAAGCAUGAUCGCAAGGACAUGUGGAGCGCUUAGAAGUGAGAAUGCCGGUGUGAGUAGCGAAAGACGGGUGAGAAUCCCGUCCACCGAUUGACUAAGGUUUCCAGAGGAAGGCUCGUCCGCUCUGGGUUAGUCGGGUCCUAAGCUGAGGCCGACAGGCGUAGGCGAUGGAUAACAGGUUGAUAUUCCUGUACCACCUAGUAUCGUUUUAAUCGAUGGGGGGACGCAGUAGGAUAGGCGAAGCGUGCUGUUGGAGUGCACGUUCAAGCAGUAAGGCUGAGUGUUAGGCAAAUCCGGCACUCAUAAGGCUGAGCUGUGAUGGGGAGAGGAAAUUGUUUCCUCGAGUCGUUGAUUUCACACUGCCGAGAAAAGCCUCUAGAUAGAUAACAGGUGCCCGUACCGCAAACCGACACAGGUAGUCAAGAUGAGAAUUCUAAGGUGAGCGAGCGAACUCUCGUUAAGGAACUCGGCAAAAUGACCCCGUAACUUCGGGAGAAGGGGUGCUCUUUAGGGUUCACGCCCAGAAGAGCCGCAGUGAAUAGGCCCAAGCGACUGUUUAUCAAAAACACAGGUCUCUGCUAAACCGUAAGGUGAUGUAUAGGGGCUGACGCCUGCCCGGUGCUGGAAGGUUAAGAGGAGUGGUUAGCUUCUGCGAAGCUACGAAUCGAAGCCCCAGUAAACGGCGGCCGUAACUAUAACGGUCCUAAGGUAGCGAAAUUCCUUGUCGGGUAAGUUCCGACCCGCACGAAAGGCGUAACGAUUUGGGCACUGUCUCAACGAGAGACUCGGUGAAAUCAUAGUACCUGUGAAGAUGCAGGUUACCCGCGACAGGACGGAAAGACCCCGUGGAGCUUUACUGUAGCCUGAUAUUGAAAUUCGGCACAGCUUGUACAGGAUAGGUAGGAGCCUUUGAAACGUGAGCGCUAGCUUACGUGGAGGCGUUGGUGGGAUACUACCCUAGCUGUGUUGGCUUUCUAACCCGCACCACUUAUCGUGGUGGGAGACAGUGUCAGGCGGGCAGUUUGACUGGGGCGGUCGCCUCCUAAAAGGUAACGGAGGCGCUCAAAGGUUCCCUCAGAAUGGUUGGAAAUCAUUCAUAGAGUGUAAAGGCAUAAGGGAGCUUGACUGCGAGACCUACAAGUCGAGCAGGGUCGAAAGACGGACUUAGUGAUCCGGUGGUUCCGCAUGGAAGGGCCAUCGCUCAACGGAUAAAAGCUACCCCGGGGAUAACAGGCUUAUCUCCCCCAAGAGUUCACAUCGACGGGGAGGUUUGGCACCUCGAUGUCGGCUCAUCGCAUCCUGGGGCUGUAGUCGGUCCCAAGGGUUGGGCUGUUCGCCCAUUAAAGCGGUACGCGAGCUGGGUUCAGAACGUCGUGAGACAGUUCGGUCCCUAUCCGUCGUGGGCGUAGGAAAUUUGAGAGGAGCUGUCCUUAGUACGAGAGGACCGGGAUGGACAUACCUCUGGUGUACCAGUUGUCGUGCCAACGGCAUAGCUGGGUAGCUAUGUAUGGACGGGAUAAGUGCUGAAAGCAUCUAAGCAUGAAGCCCCCCUCAAGAUGAGAUUUCCCAACUUCGGUUAUAAGAUCCCUCGAAGAUGACGAGGUUAAUAGGUUCGAGGUGGAAGCGUGGUGACACGUGGAGCUGACGAAUACUAAUCGAUCGAAGACUUAAUCAA
rnacentral:rRNA from 1 species